CCUACGGGGGGCAGCAGUGGGGAAUAUUGCGCAAUGGGCGAAAGCCUGACGCAGCGACGCCGCGUGAGGGAUGAAGGUCUUCGGAUCGUAAACCUCUGUCAGCAGGGACGAACGUUCACUGUGCUAGUCAGCAGUGAAUUGACUGUACCUGCAACGGAAGCACCGGCUAACUCCGUGCCAGCAGCCGCGGUAAUACGGAGGGUGCGAGCGUUAAUCGGAAUUACUGGGCGUAAAGCGCUCGUAGGCGGUAUGUCAAGUCAAGGGUGAAAUCCCCGCGCUCAACGUGGGAACUGCCUUUGAAACUGGGAGACUGGAGUGUGUGAGAGGAUAGUGGAAUUCCAGGUGUAGGAGUGAAAUCCGUAGAUAUCGGGAGGAACAUCAGUGGCGAAGGCGACUAGCUGGAACAUAACUGACGCUGAGGAGCGAAAGCGUGGGUAGCAAACAGGAUUAGAUACCCGAGUAGUC
rnacentral:rRNA from 1 species